rnacentral:rRNA from 1 species
CAGUCGCCGCGGGAAUACGAAGGGUGCAAGCGUUAAUCGGAAUUACUGGGCGUAAAGCGUGCGUAGGUGGUGGUUUAAGUCCGUUGUGAAAGCCCUGGGCUCAACCUGGGAAUUGCAGUGGAUACUGGGUCACUAGAGUGUGGUAGAGGAUAGUGGAAUUUCCGGUGUAGCAGUGAAAUGCGUAGAGAUCGGAAGGAACAUCUGUGGCGAAGGCGACUAUCUGGGCCAACACUGACACUGAGGCACGAAAGCGUGGGGAGCAAACAGGAUUAGAUACCCCCGUAGUCCUGUCUCUUAUACA